UUUCUUUUGUAUAAGUUAAAAGGUAUGACCUGCCCAAUGACGUUAAGUUUAAUGGCCGCGGUAAUUUGACCGUGCAAAGGUAGCAUAAUCAUUAGUUUUUUAAUUGGAGGCUGGAAUGAAUGGUUUGACGAAAUAUAUAUUGUCUUUAUUAUAUUUUUAUAAUUUAAUUAUUAAGUGAAAAAGCUUAAAUGUUUUUGUGGGACGAGAAGACCCUAUAGAGUUUAAUAUGAAUUUUAAUAGUGUAUUUUUAAUUUUUGAUAUUAUAAUUUAUAUUUUGUUGGGGUGAUGUAAAGAUAGUUUUAGCUCUUUAUUUAUUUUAUUAUUAAUUUAUAUGUAUUUGAUCCUUUUUUUUGGAUUAUAAGAUAAAAUUACCUUAGGGAUAACAGCGUAAUAUUUUUGGAGAGUUCAAAUUGAUGAAUAUGAUUGCGA
rnacentral:rRNA from 1 species